ensembl:snRNA U7 U7 small nuclear RNA
AGGAAUUAGCUCUUUAAUAUUUAUCAAGCAGACUUCUUUUAAAGAGAAGUCCCC